ensembl:snoRNA
GAGCAUUGUCUUUGAACCAGUGACCGGCCCUCUCAUGGCCUCACUGGCUACGCAACAGUGCAAGAGUAAGACUUGUUUAUAACUGGAGCUGCUUAGCUAAAACCUGAGUGGCUCUUUUAAGGACAAGUUACAGAU